rnacentral:rRNA from 1 species
GUCACGCCCUAACGAUGUCAACUGGUUGUUGGACGGCUUGCUGUUCAGUAACGAAGCUAACGCGUGAAGUUGACCGCCUGGGGAGUACGGCCGCAAGGUUGAAACUCAAAGGAAUUGACGGUGACCCGCACAAGCGGUGGAUGAUGUGGUUUAAUUCGAUGCAACGCGAAAACCUUACCUACCCUUGACAUGUCAAGAAUCUUGCAGAGAUGUGAGAGUGCUCGAAAGAGAACUUGAACACAGGUGCUGCAUGGCCGUCGU